UUUCCGUAGGUGAACCUGCGGAAGGAUCAUUACGUAUUAGGGCUGCCUCUGGCGCUCUUUACACACCCACCCAUUGCCUAUGCGUACCUCUGAUAGCUUCCUCGGCGGGCUCGCCCCGCCGAUAGGAACCCCCAUAACCCUUUGCAUCGUACACGAAAACUUCCGAUACCCACCUAAAUUAUCACAACUUUCAACAAUGGAUCUCUUGGUUCUGGCAUCGAUGAAGAACGCAGC
rnacentral:misc_RNA from 1 species